GUCGUUGUGGCCGAGUGGUUAAGGCGAUUGACUAGAAAUCAAUUCCUUUCGGGGGCAUAGGGUAAGCUACUCAACUUCCUCACUUCUCAAAGAAGUUAACCUAACAUAGAAAAUUUAAGUUCGAAUCCUAUCGACGACG